CCUACGGGAGGCAGCAGUGGGGAAUAUUGCACAAUGGGCGAAAGCCUGAUGCAGCAACGCCGCGUGAAGGAAGAAGGGUUUCGGCGCGUAAACUUCUAUCAACAGGGACGAAAGAAAUGACGGGACCUGAAUAAGAAGCCACGGCUAACUACGGGCCAGCAGCCGCGGUAAUACGUAGGGGGCAAGCGUUAUCCGGAAUUACUGGGUGUAAAGGGUGAGUAGGCGGCAUGGGAAGCCAGAUGUGAAAGCCUUGGGCUUAACCCGAGGAUUGCAUUUGGAACUAUCAAGCUAGAGUACAGGAGAGGCCAGCGGAAUUCCUCGUGUAGCGGUGAAAUGCGUAGAUAUUAGGUAGACCCCCAGUGGCGAAGGCGGCUUUCUGGACUGAAACUGCCGCUGCGGCACGAACGCGUGGGGAGCGAACCGGAUUAGAUACCCCAGUAGUC
rnacentral:rRNA from 1 species